UCGCUUUGGCAGCACAUAUACUAAAAUUGGAACGAUACAGAGAAGAUUAGCAUGGUCCCUGUGCAAGGAUGACAUGCAAAUUCAUGAAGCAUUCCAUACUUUU
rnacentral:snRNA from 1 species